AAAAGCAUUUGUCUGUUCUGAGUGUGGUCAAAGGUUUGGACGAAAGAGCCACUUGAAAACACACAUAAUAAUUCAUACACGACAAAAAGCAUUUAUCUGUUCUGAGUGUAGUCAAAGGUUUGGACAAAAGGGCACCCUGAACAGACACAUGAUAAUUCAUACAGGACAAAAAGCAUUUGUCUGUUCUGAGUGUGGUCAAAGGUUUGGACUAAAAAGCAACCUGACCAAACACAUGAUAAGGAAGUGGGGCAGGAGAUCAAAGGCAGUAUUUGAGGAGAGGAAAGGUCACCAUCUUGAAGAGAGAGCUCGGAUACAAAGCCAGUAAUGUUAAGGGGGCAGCUUUAGACCCCCGGUCUGGGGCCCACUGCACUCUUGUAGAAGGAAAUUCAAGGCAAAUUAAAAAAAAAAAAAGGUAAAAAGCAUUUGUCUGUUCUGAGU